rnacentral:tRNA from 1 species
GUCUGAGUAGCCAAGUGGGAAGGCAACUGUCUGCAAAACAGUUCAUCAUGGGUUCAAUUCCCAUCUCAGACUCCA